CGGUUCUUCUCCUCUCGCGGCGGAAACGAAGAAAGCCGGCUUAGGGCUCUUCCUCCGGCGGCCGGCCAAAGCUUUCCGAGGGGUUUUCUUCACCUCCUUAAGGUCGUAUUGUCGAGGGGAGCACGCGGGCACAAAAGGAUCACCGAGAUCUCAAGCUUUUCCCGAAACCCUAGCAAUCUUUCUUCUCGGUUGUAAGUCCAAGCAAUCAAGAAUAAAGGAAAAGCUAAGAUAUGAAAGGGAGGCGACAGGAUGGUGGUGGUGAUGAAGGUGUGUGAUGACUGCGACUAUGGAGAGAUCCAGAGAGUGUUAUCAAACCUGCAGGACCUAUUUGAUUAGAGUUUAUACUCUAGUUCCUUUCUUUAAACUUCCGUUAUGAAGUUUAUGAGUUUAUGAUUGAGUUUGAUUGCAUUGUAGCUUAUAUGUUCCAUUCUGGGAGAUUGUGUUUAGUUCUUAUUAUUAGACUAGUCUUUUGGUUAAAAUAUGAAUUUA